AGUGAACGCUGGCGGUAGGCCUAACACAUGCAAGUCGAACGGCAGCACAGUAAGAGCUUGCUCUUACGGGUGGCGAGUGGCGGACGGGUGAGGAAUACAUCGGAAUCUACUUUUUCGUGGGGGAUAACGUAGGGAAACUUACGCUAAUACCGCAUACGACCUACGGGUGAAAGCAGGGGAUCUUCGGACCUUGCGCGAUUGAAUGAGCCGAUGUCGGAUUAGCUAGUUGGCGGGGUAAAGGCCCACCAAGGCGACGAUCCGUAGCUGGUCUGAGAGGACGAUCAGCCACACUGGAACUGAGACACGGUCCAGACUCCUACGGGAGGCAGCAGUGGGGAAUAUUGGACAAUGGGCGCAAGCCUGAUCCAGCCAUACCGCGUGGGUGGAGAAGGCCUUCGGGUUGUAAAGCCCUUUUGUUGGGAAAGAAAAGCAGCAGGUUAAUACCCCGCUGUUCUGACGGUACCCAAAGAAUAAGCACCGGCUAACUUCGUG
rnacentral:rRNA from 1 species